UACGGAGGGGGCUAGCGUUGUUCGGAAUUACUGGGCGUAAAGCGCACGUAGGCGGACCAGCAAGUUAGGGGUGAAAUCCCGGGGCUCAACCCCGGAACUGCCUUUAAAACUGUUGGUCUGGAGGUCGAGAGAGGUGAGUGGAAUUCCGAGUGUAGAGGUGAAAUUCGUAGAUAUUCGGAGGAACACCAGUGGCGAAGGCGGCUCGCUGGCUCGAUACUGACGCUGAGGUGCGAAAGCGUGGGGAGCAAACAGG
rnacentral:rRNA from 1 species